rnacentral:sRNA from 1 species
ACGACAGAGCCCGUGAGCCUCAGGAUGAGGGCUGCCCUUGAGCAGUUGGGAUGGAAAGGAGAGAAGACUUGAGAGACUGUUUAGAGGAGGAAUGAACAGAGUUGGUGAGUGUCCGUGUUUAGGGAAUAGAGAGGAGCCAGAGAACUUUGUAAUGAAGCUUUUCCCUGGGAUACAGAAAGCAGGAAUUUUAAGCAGAUAAAAAAAGAAUUGUGAAGAAGCAAGGCUAAUGUCUAUCCAUUAGCCUAUGAAAAACCUGUAAUUGGACCCUCUCUUCAGUCAUCGUAACAGAAUGUUGCCAUGAGAGCUGCGAGGUGAAUUGCACUGUGCCAUCCUUGUUUUUGAAGCUACCCAGUAAUUCUUAUUUAGCAACUGGGGCAGUGCUGCUCUCCCUGAUUCCUCUUCGAGUGGACCUAUAUUCAGAGAAAAAAAUGCUGUUUUUUUCUGAAACUGGGUUGGUGUUGAUUCAGACCAAGAACACUUGGGUGUUCCUGAAAAUGAAAGGAGAACUACCAAAGCAGAGAGUGCUUGGCUUUUCCGGAUGUGGUACAACUUUGAUCAUAACUAUCUGAAGCCUCUGCUGACUCACAGCGGGCCUCCGCUGACAACAACACUCCCUGCCUGCUGUGGACCCAUCGCCAGGUGCCUCACCAGCCCCCAGGCUUACGAAAACCAGGAACAGUUGAAAGAUGAUGAUUCUGAUCUUAUUCUCAAUGAUGGUGACAUCAGUUUGACAUAUGGAGAUUCUACUGUGAACACUGAACCGGCCACAUCCAGCGCCCCAAGGAGAUUUAUGGGAAACAGUUCUGAAGAUGCCUUGGAUCGGGAGCUUGCAUUUGGGGACCAUGAACUGGUCAUUCGAGGAACACGCCUGGUUCUUCCAAUGGAUGAUUCUGAACCCCCGCUAAAUUUGUUAGAUAAUACGAGACACGGUCCAGCCUAAGCUUACUAAUACUCACUUAGUGAUUUGUAAAAUUUGCACAUGUGAUUGUGAAGAAAUUUGUACUACCUAAAAGUCCCAGUGCAUGUCUCUGAAUGUGUAAGCUAUAUAAAUGCUAUUUAUAUGGCGUAGAAAGAAUAUAAAUAUCCUGUACACGGCAGAUUGUGAACAAACUAUAUUCCUUUAAGUUUUCCUGGUUGCACUCUGUAGACUGGAUCUGUUUUAGGAAGUUACUUUCACAGUGAUGUUGUGUGUUCUGUUAGUUUUAUGUCUCAGUUAAAGUAUAAAACGUGACAGAUUUUCUCUUUCUUAAACUUACCUGACACUUAACCAGAGUACCAAGUUCUCAUGAUGUGAAUUAAUUUUUUUGUGUGCUAGGGGAGGGAGAGUGAGGAGGGAGUGUUAUUUCCUUGGGAACCUAGGGAGGAGAGGUUCCUUUGUUGGGAAACUUUUGUUGAUAGCUGCUGCCUUUGUCCUGACCGUUUUCUUUCCCGUUUCUCUGGUGGCCUGUUGUGGUGCAACGAGCUGAUGGCAUUUGAUCUUGCCCCAUUCAGGUUGGGGAGUGAAGUGUGGGGACCCUUUUCCCCCACUUGCUGUGAAAGCACAGAUUCAUUGACUACAGUACACUGUUGUUCAGAAAAGAAGGCUGCAAAUGACUUCUGAGACUUUAUGUCUUUUCUUCCAGACCAAGACCGUAGAAGGAGUCACAUCUAGCCGGCUUAGCCAAAGUACAGGUGUAUAUAGUUCAGGGCACUUGAUUUAGAUUUGGAGGGGCUGGGGUGGGCAGAGAGCAAGAGGCGAGUAAAGAGAAUGGUGGUUUCAGAGAUCUCUCUUCCCAAAUGUGUAAAUAUUCUAUACCAGAUAAGUUUAAAUAAGAAAUUUAAUUGCUGCUUAAUUUUUGAUUAUGUACUUUAUCUGUAUAGCAAGCUUUGUCGUCAGAAGUUUUUAUAUCGAUUUAAAUUGCUGCUCUUUAGCAGCCAAACAGGAGCAACAUGUAAAAUUUUUGAACUUACUGUGUCUAAUCAUCAUUUGUUAGUCUGUAGUUAAUGUCAACAGUUAAUUUAUGAACCCACGAUCGUUCCACACUGCACCAAAGUCAGUCAUAAGAGAAAUUGAAUAUUCUGGAGCAUUGAUUGCAGCAAGGUGGCUCCUUUGUGUGCAGCAGGUGUAGUAGUCUUCAUUUUCAUGGUACUUUUUAAUAUUAAUUACCUAAGCUGCCAUGCAUUUUUUUUUACAGUUUUCAAGGAAGAGCACAGAACAAUUUCUCAUUUCAUAUUUGGAGUAUGAAAGUAGAUUCUAUUUUGUAAUGCUGAUAAUACCUAAAGGUGCAUUGAAUGCUUGGAAGAAUGCUUUUUGAUGUUGAUUUGGACCUGUUCAUGAUUCAGAAGGAAAACAAACUUUUCUGGAUUUUUUUUCCCUCAGGUCUGAGUAGCAUUGCCUUAAAUCCUACCCAGUUAAAACAUUGGUUUAUUUACAUGAUGUUCAGAUUUUCCAGUGAAAAAUACCCUUCUGAACAAAACAUGUACUUACUCUCCAAAAGGCAUCUGUGCUAUUGCAAACACUCCUUGAGAUUUUAAGGGAAUUCUAAUGUUGUACCCUUUCGUGGCAGCUUUGACCGUUGGCAUAGCCAUUUGUUAUGUAGUGGUAGUGACUUUCCUGCUAUGCAGGAAUCCCUCCCAUGAAGUGUAUGUUUUACAUGAUGUGUGCCUCUUCACACAGUAAAUAGUUUCUUGUUAAUGUAUGUUUGAGGAGUUUGAACGUCAGUGUCAUUUACCCACAAAGUUAUUCAAGUUAUAAAAGGUUAUACAAUAAUUUAACAACUACUUUUUUUAUUCUGUCGGGUUACUGACCUCACUUUAUGUAAAUAUUUCGCAUGACAAAUUCAGUAACUCGUCUAUUUCAGCAUGCAUAAGACUUUUCACUAGGGAAACUGAUAAAGCUUGAGUCAACUAAAUCUGCCUUCAUACUUUAUCAAGGGGAACCAAGCCUGCUGUGCUUACAUCAGCAUCUGGAAGACUUUCCACUCCUCUAAUCUGUGUACACAUCUCCAAGCAAGGAAGAAAAAACAAACUCUGCUCAGACGCCUAUGAAACACCUGAAUGAACUUUGAUGAAGUACAGUCUGAGUUACCAUCAUGCACAAGUAGAAAUGCUCUUGGACUUGUUUUCCUGUUGUUUGUGGAACCUACGCGUUUGAAUGGCUUGAACGUUGCAUCUUUUAAAGUUAUUUUUUAAGGUUUCUUGGCAUUUAUCCUAGUUGUCUGUGUUUGGCAAUGUGCUGUUAAAGUAAUAGACUUUUAAUCUUUAUGUAUUUUUUGUUUUCUCUGGAGUACUUGGACAGAUGUUAUAGUGGUUUCUUUUAGGAAAAUCUGUCAUUAAAAAAGUUAUAGCCUUGCAAAUAACCACUCACAGUAUUUGAGUCACAGUUUAUUCUAGUGAGACGUAAAGAGUGCUGACUUCAUUUAUUUUUCUACCUAUAUACCUACUGGAAAACAGGAAGACUAAUGUUUUCAAAU